UACGAAGGGGGCUAGCGAUGCUCGGACUCCCUGGGCGUAAAGCGCACGUAGGCGGCUUCUUAAGUCAGGGGUGAAAUCCUGGGGCUCAACCCCAGAACUGCCCUUGAUACUGAGGAGCUUGAGUCCGGGAGAGGUGAGUGGAACUCCGAGUGUAGAGGUGAAAUUCGUAGAUAUUCGGAAGAACACCAGUGGCGAAGGCGGCUCACUGGCCCGGUACUGACGCUGAGGUGCGAAAGCUUGGGGAGCAAACAGG
rnacentral:rRNA from 1 species